GAUGAACGCUGGCGGCGUGCCUAAUACAUGCAAGUCGAGCGAACAGACGAGGAGCUUGCUCCUCUGACGUUAGCGGCGGACGGGUGAGUAACACGUGGAUAACCUACCUAUAAGACUGGGAUAACUUCGGGAAACCGGAGCUAAUACCGGAUAAUAUAUUGAACCGCAUGGUUCAAUAGUGAAAGACGGUUUUGCUGUCACUUAUAGAUGGAUCCGCGCCGCAUUAGCUAGUUGGUAAGGUAACGGCUUACCAAGGCAACGAUGCGUAGCCGACCUGAGAGGGUGAUCGUCCACACUGGAACUGAGACACGGUCCAGACUCCUACGGGAGGCAGCAGUAGGGAAUCUUCCGCAAUGGGCGAAAGCCUGACGGAGCAACGCCGCGUGAGUGAUGAUGGUCUUCGGAUCGUAAAACUCUGUUAUUAGGGAAGAACAAAUGUGUAAUUAACUAUGCACGUCUUGACGGUACCUAAUCAGAAAGCCACGGCUAACUACGUG
rnacentral:rRNA from 1 species